rnacentral:rRNA from 1 species
GUUAUAGGGUCAAGCGAAUAAGUGCAUGUGGUGGAUGCCUUGGCGAUCACAGGCGAUGAAGGACGUAGUAGCUUGCGAAAAGCUGCGGGGAGCUGGCAAACGAGCUUUGAUCCGCAGAUGUCCGAAUGGGGAAACCCGGCCCGAAUGGGUCAUCUGUUACUGAAUUCAUAGGUAACAGAGGCGAACGCAGUGAACUGAAACAUCUAAGUAGCUGCAGGAAAAGAAAUCAACCGAGAUUCCCAAAGUAGUGGCGAGCGAAAUGGGAUCAGCCUUGUACUCUUUAGCAGUAUUGUUAGCAAAACGGAAUGGAAAGUCCGGCCAUAGUGGGUGAUAGCCCCGUAUGCGAAAACAGUAUUGUGGAACUAGGUGUACGACAAGUAGGGCGGGACACGUGAAAUCCUGUCUGAAGAUGGGGGGACCAUCCUCCAAGGCUAAAUACUCGUGAUCGACCGAUAGUGAACUAGUACCGUGAGGGAAAGGCGAAAAGAACCCCGGAGAGGGGAGUGAAAUAGAUCCUGAAACCGUAUGCGUACAAGCAGUSGGAGCCUGGAAACGGGUGACGGCGUACCUUUUGUAUAAUGGGUCAGCGACUUACAUUCAGUGGAAAGCUUAACCGAUUAGGGAAGGCGUAGCGAAAGCGAGUCCGAAUAGGGCGUUCAGUCGCUGGGUGUAGACCCGAAACCAAGUGAUCUAUCCAUGGCCAGGUUGAAGGUGCGGUAACACGUACUGGAGGACCGAACCCACUAACGUUGAAAAGUUAGGGGAUGAGCUGUGGAUAGGGGUGAAAGGCUAAACAAACUUGGAAAUAGCUGGUUCUCUCCGAAAACUAUUUAGGUAGUGCCUCGUGUCUCACCUUCGGGGGUAGAGCACUGUCAUGGUUGGGGGGUCUAUUGCUGAUUACCCCGCCAUAGCAAACUCCGAAUACCGAAGAGUGCAAUCACGGGAGACAGACAUCGGGUGCUAACGUCCGGACUCAAGAGGGAAACAACCCAGACCGCCAGCUAAGGUCCCUAAAAUUGGCUAAGUGGGAAACGAAGUGGGAAGGCUAAAACAGUCAGGAGGUUGGCUUAGAAGCAGCCACCCUUUAAAGAAAGCGUAAUAGCUCACUAGUCGAGUCGGCCUGCGCGGAAGAUGUAACGGGGCUAAGCCAGUCACCGAAGCUGCGGAUGCACGUAAGUGCAUGGUAGGAGAGCGUUCUGUAAGCCUGUGAAGGUGUCUUGUGAAGGAUGCUGGAGGUAUCAGAAGUGCGAAUGCUGACAUGAGUAGCGAUAAAGGGGGUGAAAGGCCCCCUCGCCGUAAGCCCAAGGUUUCCUACGCAACGUUCAUCGGCGUAGGGUGAGUCGGCCCCUAAGGCGAGGCAGAGAUGCGUAGCUGAUGGGAAGCAGGUUAAUAUUCCUGCACCGUCGUAUGAUGCGAUGGGGGGACGGAUCGCGGAAGGUUGUCCGGGUGUUGGAUGUCCCGGUCCCUGCAUUGGAGAUGGCACUUAGGCAAAUCCGGGUGCGUGAUUCAAGGGUGUGGGGCGAGCGACUUUAGGUCGCGAAGCAAUUGGAAGUGGUUCCAAGAAAAGCCUCUAAGCUUCAGUCAUACGAGACCGUACCGCAAACCGACACAGGUGGGCGAGAUGAGUAUUCUAAGGCGCUUGAGAGAACUCGGGAGAAGGAACUCGGCAAAUUGGUACCGUAACUUCGGGAUAAGGUACGCCCUUGUAGUUUGACUGGCUCGCGCCAGAAGGACGAAGGGGUUGCAAUAAAAUGGUGGCUGCGACUGUUUAUUAAAAACACAGCACUCUGCAAACACGAAAGUGGACGUAUAGGGUGUGACGCCUGCCCGGUGCCGGAAGGUUAAUUGAUGGGGUUAGCUAACGCGAAGCUCUUGAUCGAAGCCCCGGUAAACGGCGGCCGUAACUAUAACGGUCCUAAGGUAGCGAAAUUCCUUGUCGGGUAAGUUCCGACCUGCACGAAUGGCGUAACGAUGGCGGCGCUGUCUCCACCCGAGACUCAGUGAAAUUGAAGUGUUUGUGAUGAUGCAAUCUCCCCGCGGCUAGACGGAAAGACCCCAUGAACCUUUACUGUAGCUUUGCAUUGGACUUUGAACCGAUCUGUGUAGGAUAGGUGGGAGGCUUUGAAACCGGGACGCUAGUUUCGGUGGAGCCGUCCUUGAAAUACCACCCUGGUUUGUUUGAGGUUCUAACCUUGGCCCGUGAAUCCGGGUCGGGGACAGUGCAUGGUAGGCAGUUUGACUGGGGCGGUCUCCUCCCAAAGUGUAACGGAGGAGUUCGAAGGUACGCUUGGUACGGUCGGACAUCGUACCUAAAGUGCAAUGGCAAAAGCGUGCUUAACUGCGAGACCGACAAGUCGAGCAGGUGCGAAAGUAGGUCUUAGUGAUCCGGUGGUUCUGUAUGGAAGGGCCAUCGCUCAACGGAUAAAAGGUACUCCGGGGAUAACAGGCUGAUACCGCCCAAGAGUUCAUAUCGACGGCGGUGUUUGGCACCUCGAUGUCGGCUCAUCACAUCCUGGGGCUGAAGCCGGUCCCAAGGGUAUGGCUGUUCGCCAUUUAAAGUGGUACGCGAGCUGGGUUUAGAACGUCGUGAGACAGUUCGGUCCCUAUCUGCCGUGGACGUUUGAGAUUUGAGAGGGGCUGCUCCUAGUACGAGAGGACCGGAGUGGACGAACCUCUGGUGUACCUGUUGUCUCGCCAGAGGCAUCGCAGGGUAGCUAUGUACGGAAGAGAUAACCGCUGAAAGCAUCUAAGCGGGAAACUCGCCUGAAGAUGAGGAUUCCCUGGAGACUUGAUCUCCCUGAAGGGUCGUUCGAGACCAGGACGUUGAUAGGCUGGGUGUGGAAGCGCAGUAAUGCGUUCAGCUAACCAGUACUAAUUGCCCGUGCGGCUUGAUCCUAUAACC